UAAGGAAUAUUGGUCAAUGGACGCAAGUCUGAACCAGCCAUGCCGCGUGAAGGAUGAAGGUCCUCUGGAUUGUAAACUUCUUUUAUCUGGGACGAAAACGGGAUUUUUAUCUCAAUUGACGGUACCAGAGGAAUAAGCACCGGCUAACUCCGUGCCAGCAGCCGCGGUAAUACGGAGGGUGCGAGCGUUAUCCGGAUUUACUGGGUUUAAAGGGUGCGUAGGUGGGCAGAUAAGUCAGUGGUGAAAUCUUCCGGCUUAACCGGGAAACUGCCGUUGAUACUAUUUGUCUUGAAUAUUGCGGAGGUAAGCGGAAUAUGUCAUGUAGCGGUGAAAUGCUUAGAUAUGACAUAGAACACCAAUUGCGAAGGCAGCUUACUACACAAUCAUUGACACUGAGGCACAAAAGCGUGGGUAGCGAACA
rnacentral:rRNA from 1 species